rnacentral:rRNA from 1 species
AUUGAACGCUGGCGGCAUGCCUUACACAUGCAAGUCGAACGGUAACAGGUCUUCGGAUGCUGACGAGUGGCGAACGGGUGAGUAAUACAUCGGAACGUGCCCGAUCGUGGGGGAUAACGAGGCGAAAGCUUUGCUAAUACCGCAUACGAUCUACGGAUGAAAGCGGGGGAUCUUCGGACCUCGCGCGGACGGAGCGGCCGAUGGCGGAUUAGGUAGUUGGUGGGAUAAAAGCUUACCAAGCCGACGAUCUGUAGCUGGUCUGAGAGGAUGAUCAGCCACACUGGGACUGAGACACGGCCCAGACUCCUACGGGAGGCAGCAGUGGGGAAUUUUGGACAAUGGGCGAAAGCCUGAUCCAGCCAUGCCGCGUGCAGGAUGAAGGCCUUCGGGUUGUAAACUGCUUCUGUACGGAACGAAAAGCCUCUUUCUAAUAAAGAGGGGUCAUGACGGUACCGUAAGAAUAAGCACCGGCUAACUACGU